CACUCCUACGGGAGGCAGCAGUGGGGAAUAUUGCACAAUGGGCGCAAGCCUGAUGCAGCGACGCCGCGUGGGGGAUGAAGGCCUUCGGGUUGUAAACUCCUUUCGCUAGGGACGAAGCUUUUUUGUGACGGUACCUAGAUAAGAAGCACCGGCUAACUACGUGCCAGCAGCCGCGGUAAUACGUAGGGUGCGAGCGUUGUCCGGAAUUACUGGGCGUAAAGGGCUCGUAGGUGGUUUGUCGCGUCGUCUGUGAAAUUCUGGGGCUUAACUCCGGGCGUGCAGGCGAUACGGGCAUAACUUGAGUGCUGUAGGGGUAACUGGAAUUCCUGGUGUAGCGGUGAAAUGCGCAGAUAUCAGGAGGAACACCGAUGGCGAAGGCAGGUUACUGGGCAGUUACUGACGCUGAGGAGCGAAAGCAUGGGUAGCGAACAGGAUUAGAUACCCCGGUAGUCCCAUG
rnacentral:rRNA from 1 species